AACGAACGCUGGCGGCGUGCCUAACACAUGCAAGUCGAACGUGAUCCGGAGCUUGCUCCGGUGAAAGUGGCGCACGGGUGAGUAACGCGUGGGAACCUGCCCAAAGGUAAGGAAUAACCGCGGGAAACUGCGGCUAAUACCUUAUGCUCCCUUCGGGGGAAAGAUUUAUCGCCUUUGGAUGGGCCCGCGUCGGAUUAGCUAGUUGGUGAGGUAACGGCUCACCAAGGCGACGAUCCGUAGCUGGUCUGAGAGGAUGAUCAGCCACACUGGGACUGAGACACGGCCCAGACUCCUACGGGAGGCAG
rnacentral:rRNA from 1 species